UUUACAAUACUAGAACAUCAUAAACCAGUAAAUUGCUUUAUUAGAUUCUAGACCAAGUCACUGAAACAAACCCCCCAGCAUGCCAACACACAGACACGACUCGCUUACUCCCUCCCUCAGUCACUCACUCACUCAUGCACUGACACAUCACUCAUCAGAAGACAUCCAUAGACACAUCACUCAUCAGUAGUCUUCUUCUCAUCAGCUUCUGCAGCAGCUCCCUUCUCUUCCUUCCCUACCUCCUCUGCUUCUCCUUUGACACCCUCCUCUUUUGGAGUCUCCACGGUGGAGUCCGGAUCUGGUUUGGCCACGACAGUCUCUUUGGCCACGACAUUCUCUUCGGCCACAACUGCCUCGGGUUCCACUGAUUUCGUGUUGGCUUCUUCUGCUUCCUCCUUGUUCUCUUCUGGCUCUGGUGCCACCUUGGAAGUCUCCUUUGGUGCCUCGACUUCUUUUUCUUCUUUUGAUUCAGUCUGUUCUCCCUCAGUUGUUUCGAGGACGCCUUCUUCUUGUUUGGUCUCGGUACUCUCCGUUAUUGUCUUGGUCUCGGUCUCGGUCUCAGCUGGCUUUUCUUGAUCUUCUUCUUUCUUGGGGUCUUCUUUUGGUGCGACCACCGCUACUUCCUCUUGAUGGACAGUUUUGAUUUGCUCUUCAGGCUUAUCCUCCACGAACGCAGCUUGUGCUGAUACAACCUGUUUCGUCCACAUAAAUCAUUUCAUCAAAAUAUAUGGAUCGGCAAAAUGAACAUACAGUUAUAAAAUCGUAUAGUAGGUCGAUACUUUCAUUCGAAACCUGUGAUCUAAUAAUGCUAUGCUACUUCAUCUUUGGGUGUCUUUUGGCAAGUCACUAGCGUUAUAAAUGACAAUCCCGAAUUGAUUGUUAUUAUUCCUACUUCACUAUUCAAGAACAAAUCAUGUAACUGUUGGCAAAAACAGUUUUCCAAAUCAUCUCUUCGACAAGAGCUAAACAUGUUGAACCAAGGUUUCUAUUCUAAGAACUUCAAUGAGUAGUUAUUAGAGUUACCUCGACGGUAGCCAUAGGAGAUCCAACGGAGUUACUUUGGCAGAAGCUGCUAAGAAAAUAAACAGAAGCUAUGAGGCCAAAGAAGAUUGAAAGAGGAAGGAGAAACGAGCUAGUGGAGGGUUGGACUGUGA
rnacentral:lncRNA from 1 species